rnacentral:rRNA from 1 species
CAGCAGCCGCGGGAAUACGGAGGGUGCAAGCGUUAUCCGGAUUUAUUGGGUUUAAAGGGUCCGUAGGCGGACUUAUAAGUCAGUGGUGAAAGCCUGUCGCUUAACGAUAGAACCGCCAUUGAUACUGUAAGUCUUGAGUAUAUUUUAGGUAGCUGGAAUAAGUAGUGUAGCGGUGAAAUGCAUAGAUAUUACUUAGAACACCAAUUGCGAAGGCAGGUUACCAAGAUAUAACUGACGCUGAGGGACGAAAGCGUGGGUAGCGAACAGGAUUAGAUACCCCCGUAGUCCCUGUCUCUUAUAU